rnacentral:tRNA from 1 species
GCGGGUUUAAUUUAACGGUAAAAUAUAAGACUGUGACUCUUAAAAAAAAGGUUCGAUUCCUUUAACCCUCC